GUGAAUCAUCAAAUUUUUGAACGCAAAUUGCACUCUCUUCGGAGAGUAUGCCUGUUUGAGGGUCAGCCUAAAAAAAAAUCGACAUAUUCGCUGUUUCGCGGUUACAUUCGUUGGAAAUUGGGUCAUCUUAAACCUUUGGGUCUUAAACUGCUUAAAAUUUUCUUUUCGAUUCCACGAACGUUUUUUAGAAUUACUUCUUUUACCUUUAAGGGAUCGG
rnacentral:misc_RNA from 1 species